UCCCUGGUGGCUUAGACGGUAAAGCAUCUGCCUACAAUGCCGGAGACCCGGGUUCAAUCCCUGGGUUAGGAA
rnacentral:tRNA from 1 species